AUUUGAAUGAAAACGGUGAACUCGGAAGUGAGAUCUGAGUCCGUUAAGACGUUUUUGAAAAUUUUGACUUUUUGACGAUGAAUAGUAAAAUACUGCUAUUUCGUCUUUUUGUCGACUUUCAAAAUCUUACGUGCACGUCGUCGAGAAAUAUUCUUAGUUUUUCGAUACGAGUCCAAUAAUGAAAGUUUUUAUUUUUGGACGACGAGUGAUUAGUAAAUCGGGAUUUCUCGAUAAACGAACCGAGCUCGUUUAUCAGAAUUUCGAGAACGAGCUUGCGUUUUCUAUAUUUAUAUAGAAUUACGAGUAUAAUGAAAGUGAGUAAGAGUUGAGAGGGCGAGUAACGAAGAGUAUGGGUAGUUAGUCGUUAAAACGAGACGAAACGAGAUAUUUAACGACUAACGGGUUAAUAUCCUAAAUAUCCUACCUACCCAUUACUACCCCACCCAACCGCCCAAAACCCCUUUCCCCUCACUAACUCACGUUGAUAUCAGCCACAACACUCAUUCUCUAUCUCUCUCUCACACACUCACACUCAAACACGCCAAACACCAUUUUUAGCUUGGACGGAGGUUUCAAGCUCCGAUUUGAGCACCGAGACGAGCGCCGAUCAUCUUUUCGAUCAUGUAUCUAAGUAGGUCCUUUUGGGAAGUAACGACUUGAGGGAGAGAGUGACGUUACUCAUUGAUACAGAGACACAACGAGGUUGAGCUGAUGUGAUGAUGGUGCUGCAAUGAGCGGAGUCUCCAGGGUUGUUAAUAAAUAGUUAACCUGUCUAGAAUAUGUCUUCAUACAUAUGUCUAGCUACUUUCCGCUGCAAGAUGUUGUUGAUGUUAUAGUAUGUUAUGUCAUACUUUGAGUCUUAAGAGAAUGGUUGCAUAUGAUGUAUAACUUGAUUAAUGAUAUUAAUUAACUUUUAUGCAGUCUUUCAUAGACUGUUUUCAAUUGAGUAUUAAUGAAUAAAAAUGACGAGUUUUAUUAAGAUGAGUAAGUUUUACGGCUAUAAAUGACGCCCCUUUUCUUCCCCUUCUUCUUUAACCCCAUCCCUAGUCGUGGAUCACUCGGCCUAACUAUCCCUAGUUAGGGCGGGCUGUGACAGAGUGGUAUCAGAGCGAAGGAAAGCUCUGAAUUAGAAGUCUUGAGUUUAGUCUAGAAUGAGUCACUAGACUAAUAGUUAUUAACAACCGUGAGCUCAGCGCACCAUCACACCAGGCUCAACGAGGUAUGUAAAAUUUCAAAGUUUAUUUGACGUUAAAUUUUGAAGAGCAUGAUGUUGAGGUUAUAUGAUGAGUUAUGAUGUUACACUUUAAAGGUGCAUAGUUUGAGUUUGAGGAUGACAACAUGAUUAAUAAUGAGUUAUUAUGUUGUAAGAGCAUAUGUUGAUGUUACAUGAUGAAUCAUGAGAGCGUUUAUAUCAUAUGAUGUUAUAUGAUUGAGGAUGCAU